rnacentral:rRNA from 1 species
AGAGUUUGAUCCUGGCUCAGAGUGAACGCUGGCGGCAGGCCUAACACAUGCAAGUCGAGCGGCAGCGCGUCCGACCACCCUCGGGUGGUCGGAUGGCGGCGAGCGGCGGACGGGUGAGGAAUGCAUCGGAAUCUGCCUCGUUGUGGGGGAUAACGUAGGGAAACUUACGCUAAUACCGCAUACGACCUACGGGUGAAAGUGGGGGACCUUCGGGCCUCACGCGAUGAGAUGAGCCGAUGCCGGAUUAGCUAGUUGGCGGGGUAAAGGCCCACCAAGGCGACGAUCCGUAGCUGGUCUGAGAGGAUGAUCAGCCACACUGGAACUGAGACACGGUCCAGACUCCUACGGGAGGCAGCAGUGGGGAAUAUUGGACAAUGGGGGCAACCCUGAUCCAGCCAUGCCGCGUGUGUGAAGAAGGCCUUCGGGUUGUAAAGCACUUUUGUUGGGGAAGAAACCGGCCGGGUUAAUACCCUGGUUGAAUGACGGUACCCAAAGAAUAAGCACCGGCUAACUUCGUGCCAGCAGCCGCGGUAAUACGAAGGGUGCAAGCGUUACUCGGAAUUACUGGGCGUAAAGCGUGCGUAGGCGGUUUGUUAAGUCUGCUGUGGAAGCCCUGGGC